GACGAACGCUGGCGGCGUGCUUAACACAUGCAAGUCGAACGGAAAGGCCCUGCUUUUGUGGGGUGCUCGAUUGGCGAACGGGUGAGUAACACGUGAGUAACCUGCCCUUGACUUUGGGAUAACUUCAGGAAACUGGGGCUAAUACCGUAUAGGAGCUCCUGCUGCAUGGUGGGGGUGGGAAAUUUUCGGCGGUUGGGGAUGGACGCGCGGCUUAUCAGCUUGUUGGUGGGGUAGUGGCUUACCAAGGCUUUGACGGGUAGCCGGCAUGAGAGGGUGACCGGCCACAUUGGGACUGAGAUACGGCCCAGACUCCUACGGGAGGCAGCAGUGGGGAAUAUUGCACAAUGGGCGGAAGCCUGAUGCAGCAACGCCGCGUGCGGGAUGACGGCCUUCGGGUUGUAAAACGCUUUCGCCUGUGACGAAGCGUGAGUGACGGUAAUGGGUAAAGAAGCACCGGCUAACUACGUG
rnacentral:rRNA from 1 species